GCGCCCAUAGCUCAGCCGGAUAGAGCAACGGCCUUCUAAGCCGUAGGUCACACGUUCGAAUCGUGUUGGGCGUGCCA
rnacentral:tRNA from 2 species